GUUGUAAUUCUAGCCAACACAAACCUAUUUUACUAAAAACAAAACAAACCAUUUAACUUAAUAGUAUAGGCGAUAGAAAUUAAUUAUGAGCAAUAGAAAAAGUACUGCAAAGGAAAGAUGGAAUAGAAAUGAAAUAAAUAACAAAAACAAAGAAAAGAAAAGAUUAAGUCUUAUACCUUUUGCAUAAUGGUCUAGCAAGUCAAACCUAACAAAAAGAAAUAAAGUUAGCCCUCCCGAAACUAGACGAGCUACUCAAGAGCAGCACUAACUAGGGCCAACCCGUCUCUGUGGCAAAAGAGUGGGACGACUUUUGAGUAGAGGCGAUAAACCUAACGAGCCUAGUGAUAGCUGGUUGCUUGAGACAUAAAUAUUAGUUCAGCUUAAAGUGAUUUAAGUUAAUAUAAACAAAAAAUAACACUUUAAAGUUAGUUAACAAGGGUACAGCCUUAUUAACAAAGGAUACAACCUACACUAUGAAUAAAGAUUAUAUUGACAAAAGAAAUUAACCACGUAGGCCUAAAAGCAGCCAUCAUGAGAAAGCGUCAAAGCUCAGUUUAACAACUUCCUUAUUAUUCUAAUAAAAAAUCUGAAUUCACAAAAUAUAUCAAGCCUAUUUAUUUUAUAAAUGAGUUUAUACUAGAAUGAGUAACAAGAACAUAUUCUCUACAUGCAAAUGUAAAUCAGAACGAAAAACUCACUGAUAAUCAACAGAUAUAUAUAUAACACAACAAGAAGAAUAUAUUUUAACCACUGUUAACCCAACACAGGAGCAUAAAAGAAGAUUAAAAGAUUAAAAAGGAACUCGGCAACCAAAAGUUUCGCCUGUUUACCAAAAACAUCGCCUCUUGAUCAACAAAUAUAAGAGGUCCCGCCUGCCCAGUGAUCAAUUUUAACGGCCGCGGUAUCAUGACCGUGCAAAGGUAGCGUAAUCACUUGUCUUUUAAAUAAAGACCUGUAUGAAAGGCAAAACGAAAACUUAACUGUCUCUUUAAUCCAAUCAGUAAAAUUAGUCUCCCCGUGCAGAAACGAGGAUAAUAGUAUAAGACGAGAAGACCCUAUGGAGCUUUAAACAUAAGAUUAAUUAUAUUCCCACCAUAACCUACAGGCAAACAAUAUAGACGUAUAAUAAUAAUCUAAGUUUUUGGUUGGGGCGACCACGGAAGAAAAAAUAUCCUCCGAGAUAACAAUUUAGAAUUACACUUCAAAACCUAGAACAUUUAUUAUAAAUGACCCACUAAGUGAUCAACGAACCAAGUUACCCUAGGGAUAACAGCGCAAUCCUUUCUAAGAGUUCCUAUCGACGAAUGGGUUUACGACCUCGAUGUUGGAUCAGGACACCCCAAUGGUGCAGUCGCUAUUAAAGGUUCGUUUGUUCAACGAUUAAAGUCCUACGUGAUCUGAGUUCAGACCGGAGUAAUCCAGGUCAGUUUCUAUCUAUAAUGAGAUUUUUUCCAGUACGAAAGGACCGAAAAAAUAGAGCCUCUUAUAAAAAGCUCUUACACUUCUGAAGACAAAUAAAGUCCUAUAAAAAUAUACCCUUAGAACAAGGGACAA
rnacentral:rRNA from 1 species